AAAUUGAAGAGUUUGAUCAUGGCUCAGAUUGAACGCUGGCGGCAGGCCUAACACAUGCAAGUCGAACGGUAACAGGAAGCAGCUUGCUGCUUCGCUGACGAGUGGCGGACGGGUGAGUAAUGUCUGGGAAACUGCCUGAUGGAGGGGGAUAACUACUGGAAACGGUAGCUAAUACCGCAUAAUGUCGCAGGACCAAAGAGGGGGACCUUCGGGCCUCUUGCCAUCAGAUGUGCCCAGAUGGGAUUAGCUUGUUGGUGAGGUAACGGCUCACCAAGGCGACGAUCCCUAGCUGGUCUGAGAGGAUGACCAGCCACACUGGAACUGAGACACGGUCCAGACUCCUACGGGAGGCAGCAGUGGGGAAUAUUGCACAAUGGGCGCAAGCCUGAUGCAGCCAUGCCGCGUGUAUGAAGAAGGCCUUCGGGUUGUAAAGUACUUUCAGCGGGGAGGAAGGGGAUAAGGCUAAUAACCUUGUUCAUUGACGUUACCCGCAGAAGAAGCACCGGCUAACUCCGUGCCAGCAGCCGCGGUAAUACGGAGGGUGCAAGCGUUAAUCGGAAUUACUGGGCGUAAAGCGCACGCAGGCGGUCUGUCAAGUCGGAUGUGAAAUCCCCGGGCUCAACCUGGGAACUGCAUUCGAAACUGGCAGGCUUGAGUCUUGUAGAGGGGGGUAGAAUUCCAGGUGUAGCGGUGAAAUGCGUAGAGAUCUGGAGGAAUACCGGUGGCGAAGGCGGCCCCCUGGACAAAGACUGACGCUCAGGUGCGAAAGCGUGGGGAGCAAACAGGAUUAGAUACCCUGGUAGUCCACGCCGUAAACGAUGUCUACUUGGAGGUUGUGCCCUUGAGGCGUGGCUUCCGGAGCUAACGCGUUAAGUAGACCGCCUGGGGAGUACGGCCGCAAGGUUAAAACUCAAAUGAAUUGACGGGGGCCCGCACAAGCGGUGGAGCAUGUGGUUUAAUUCGAUGCAACGCGAAGAACCUUACCUGGUCUUGACAUCCACAGAACCCUGUAGAGAUACGGGGGUGCCUUCGGGAGCUGUGAGACAGGUGCUGCAUGGCUGUCGUCAGCUCGUGUUGUGAAAUGUUGGGUUAAGUCCCGCAACGAGCGCAACCCUUAUCCUUUGUUGCCAGCGGUCCGGCCGGGAACUCAAAGGAGACUGCCAGUGAUAAACUGGAGGAAGGUGGGGAUGACGUCAAGUCAUCAUGGCCCUUACGACCAGGGCUACACACGUGCUACAAUGGCGCAUACAAAGAGAAGCGACCUCGCGAGAGCAAGCGGACCUCAUAAAGUGCGUCGUAGUCCGGACUGGAGUCUGCAACUCGACUCCAUGAAGUCGGAAUCGCUAGUAAUCGUGGAUCAGAAUGCCACGGUGAAUACGUUCCCGGGCCUUGUACACACCGCCCGUCACACCAUGGGAGUGGGUUGCAAAAGAAGUAGGUAGCUUAACCUUCGGGAGGGCGCUUACCACUUUGUGAUUCAUGACUGGGGUGAAGUCGUAACAAGGUAACCGUAGGGGAACCUGCGGUUGGA
rnacentral:rRNA from 1 species